CCCUUAGAUGUUCUGGGCCGCACGCGCGCUACACUGAUGCAUUCAACGAGCCUAUCCUUGACCGACAGGUCCGGGUAAUCUUUGAAUCUGCAUCGUGACGGGGAUAGAUUAUUGCAAUUAUUAAUCUUCAACGAGGAAUGCCUAGUAGGCGCAAGUCAUCAGCUUGCGUCGAUUACGUCCCUGCCCUUUGUACACACCGCCCGUCGCACCUACCGAUUGAAUGGUCCGGUGAAAUCUUCGGAUUGAGACUUUGUUUUCUUCACGGAAAACGCUGUUUUAAAAAGUUGAUUAAACCUUACCAUUUAGAGGAAGGUGAAGUCGUAACA
rnacentral:rRNA from 1 species